rnacentral:rRNA from 1 species
AUUGAACGCUGGCGGAAUGCUUUACACAUGCAAGUCGAACGGCAGCACGGGGCAACCUGGUGGCGAGUGGCGAACGGGUGAGUAAUACAUCGGAACGUGCCCAGUCGUGGGGGAUAACGUAGCGAAAGUUACGCUAAUACCGCAUACGAUCUAUGGAUGAAAGCGGGGGAUCGCAAGACCUCGCGCGAUUGGAGCGGCCGAUGUCAGAUUAGGUAGUUGGUGGGGUAAAGGCCUACCAAGCCGACGAUCUGUAGCUGGUCUGAGAGGACGACCAGCCACACUGGGACUGAGACACGGCCCAGACUCCUACGGGAGGCAGCAGUGGGGAAUUUUGGGACAAUGGGCGCAAGCCUGAUCCAGCCAUUCCGCGUGCAGGAUGAAGGCCUUCGG